CCUACGGGUGGCUGCAGUGAGGAAUAUUGGUCAAUGGGCGUAAGCCUGAACCAGCCAAGUCGCGUGAGGGAUGAAGGUUCUAUGGAUCGUAAACCUCUUUUAUAAGGGAAUAAAGUGUGGGACGUGUCCUGUUUUGUAUGUACCUUAUGAAUAAGCAUCGGCUAACUCCGUGCCAGCAGCCGCGGUAAUACGGGGGAUGCGAGCGUUAUCCGGAUUUAUUGGGUUUAAAGGGUGCGUAGGGGGGCGUUUAAGUCAGCGUGAAAAAUUCGGGGCUCAACCCCGUCCGGCCGUUGAAACUGGGGGCCUUGAGUGGGCGAGAGGAAGGCAGAAUGCGUGGUGUAGCGGUGAAAUGCGUAGAUAUCACGCAGAACCCCGAUUGCGAAGGCAGCCUUCCGGCGCCCUACUGACGCUGAGGCACGAAAGUGCGGGGAUCGAACAGGAUUAGAUACCCUUGUAGUC
rnacentral:rRNA from 1 species